rnacentral:lncRNA from 10 species
UUGUUAUUAAAUCGGUUCCAUUUUUAUUGGAUUUGAACCAAAUACAGCAGGAUGAGGGGUGGGGGUGCUGAGGGGUCUUAGUUCAUGUUGGGAUGGGGUGGGGGGCUCAGGGGGCUGGGAAAUCCUAAUAUACGGAUGCUCUGUGAACCCUAACCUGGCCGAGAAUGCACCCCCUCCUGUCUUUGAUAGGCUAAAGGCACUUGGAUAUCAAUUCUGGGGGGCCCUUGGGGUUGUCAUGGUAAGCAGAGUCAGACAGGUGCUAAGAAAAAAAUUGGUUCUGCCCAAUUCAGGGGUGGCGGUUGGGGUUGCACGAACUUCAGCCCUCACUCAUGUCGAGCCCCCUGGGCCAUCUGUACAUCGUGGUGCUGGCCUGGGCCCUCCCGGCCACAGCUCAGGGAGAACGGGCUGUUGUCUCCUUCCAGCUCCUUCUGAAACUUUUGCUCAAAGCCUUCAGGGCUGAGCCAGCUUUCUCUCUGUUUCUCUCUGGCUGAUCGAUCUCAGAGCAGUCUUCAGGGAUCCAGGAUCCAAGUCAAGCCAUCAAGCUCAUCUGCAGGCCUGGCCUCUGAAUACAGGGUAAUAGGUUUGACCCUCAGACCCAUUUUACAGAUGAGGACACUGAUGGUCUAGGUGGUCUUCAGUCACCAGCUGAGAUCACAUAGCCGGGCAGGAGCAGAGCUGCUUUUGAGCCCUUCCCGCAAAGUCCUGGAGGGUCUGUCCUAACCUCUUGGUUGGCAGCCAAGCCCCUUUCUGGCUGAGGUUUUGGCCCAACAGUGGUUCCUGUCCCUGCCCCCAGCAAUGUCCUAACUGUCCUCUGGAGGAUGUGGAGGGGAGGGGCAAGAACUGGCUGUGAGGAGGCCAGGUCACAGAUGGUCCCUGUGGUCCCGGUCUGGUGCCUGAAUCCUUCUGCAAAACCUCAGCUCCUGCUUGUUUGCCCCCCGUGACAGGAUGCCCACCAUCUGCAGAGCAACCGGGCGGUGACCUCAGGGAAGCUCUUCCUUGACCAGAGCUGCAGUCGGCCUGUGACCCCAGCUUUGGUCCUGGAUCUGCCCCACCUCUGCAGGUGCAGAGACCCAGCUUCCUCCAUCACCUUCUCCCGAGGACCCGGGUCCAGGCCUCCCUGCAGGGUGAAGCCCUUGUUCCGGCCUUGUUCUUGUCACUACACUGCACCGCACGUAGCCGGGAUCCCCGGGAACCCCCUGUGCUCUUUGGUCUCGUUCCCCACCUGAGCCACGGGUCAGCAGGGCCGGCCAUGAUGGGGCCACGCUCAGGGCUUGUCUGAGGCCGGCUCAGAGGUCAUGUGUACCUAGGGGCAAAAGUCCCUCCAGUAGACCCAUUUGGAAGGACACUCAGCACCCCAGAAGCCAUGGUUCUGGGCCGGGGCAGGGUGGCCACCUCUCCCUUGUGGGGUGGCCCUCUCUUGCCUGCUGUUCUGGGAAGCACGUGGCAGCGGAGGGAGGCGGAGGGCUGGGGUGAUGGCUCCUUCUUGUGGACAGCCCUGCUGGGCUGUGGGGAGGACGGAGGACAGGGCGUGUGGACCCCUGACUGUGACCACCGUGUGUGCUGGGUCCUCAGCAAGACCUGAGCCCAGGCCCCGAGGUCGGCUGGGAGAUGCUCAGCUGAGCAGGCGCUGGGGUGGGCUCUGUGUCCCAGGUGUGAGCUGUGUCUCAGUUAUGCGUUGUGCCUGUCCCAGGUGUGAACUGAGCAUGUCCCUGGUGUGAGCUGUGCUCUCACGAGAGCCCUGCCUGCCUCUGUGGUCAGCUCUGGUGCCCAGGGCUUGGUUUUAGUGUCAGCUGGGUGUGAGGGUGUGUGUCUCGGGUGUGAGCUGUGUGUGUCCCAGAUGUGAGUUCUGUGUUCUGGGUGUGAGCUGUGUGUUCCAGUGUGAGCUGAGUGUGUCCUGGGUGUGAGCUGUAUCCCGGGUGUGAGCUGUGUGUUCCACUGUGAGCUGUCCUUGUAUCAGGUGUGAGCUGAGUGUGUCCUGCGUAUGAGCUGUGUGUCCCGGGUGUGAGCUCUGUGUUCCGGGUGUGAGCUGUGUGUCCCGGGUGUGAGCUGUGUUUCCCGGGUGUAAGCUGUGUGUCCCGGGUGUGAGCUGUGUGUUCUGGGUGUGAGCUGUGUGUGUCCUGGGUGUGAGCUGUGUGUCCCGGGUGUGAGUUGCGCCUGUCCCGGGUGUGAGCUUUGCUCUCACGAGAGCCCUGCCUGCCCCCUGCGGUCAGCUCUGGUGCCCCGGGUCUGGUUUUAGUGUCGGCUGGGUGUGAGGUGUGUUGCACCUGUGUGAUUGGGUUCCAGCAGUCUUGUGCCUCCUGGGUGUGAAUUGCGGGCCCUGAGGAUCCUGGGGUCUCUGAGCGCCCCCAGCCACCCC